rnacentral:rRNA from 1 species
AUGGGUAGUACUGGUAGCCCCUCGGUAGCCGCUCUACCAACAAGCGGCCUGCUACCCCCGAUACGCACGCCAAGGUCAGCGCCGGCCGAAUGGAAGACGGACGACGAUUCCGCGGUGGCGGCAGCGGAGGAGGAGCCAGUGACCCCUAGUGCAAGACUCUUCGAAGCUAUAUACAUCGUGGUUAUGGUCGGCCUUGGCUCGCCCGUCAACCUAGCCAUCUUCAGCGCCGGCAUCGCAGCCCAACUUGCUCGUUACCCACGCUUCCGUAGCAUUCAAGUGACAGACGGGUGCAAGAGCCCGCGGUGGGCGUGCACGGAGGUGAACGUCGACGACCACAUGAUCGUCCCGACGCUGGACCCCGCCGCCGUGGAGGCUGACCCGGACCGGGCCGUGGAGGACUACGUGGCCUCGCUGCAGGCGCUCCCCAUGGAUUGCUCCCGCCCGCUCUGGGAGUUCCACUUCCUCGACUUCCCGACCUCAGAGGCCACCUCCACCGUGGUGUUCCGCGUCCACCACUCCCUCGGUGACGGGAUGUCGCUGAUCACGCUCCUCCUGGCGUCUGCCCGCAGCGCCGCGGACCCGACACGCCUGCCGGCCAUGCCGGAGCAGCCGGCGCGCACGGGCGCCAUCUACGAGCCGCGGCACCGGCAGCCGCUGCCCUCGGGCGCCCUGGCGGCGUUCGUCGCAUGGGUCUGGCCGUAUCUUGCGCUUGCAUGGAACACCGUGGUGGACGUCAUCUUCUUUGCUGCGACGAUUGUGUUUCUGAGAGACCCGAACACACUCUUCAGACGCGGGGACAGUCAAGUUACGUUGAACCCCCGCAGGCGCUUCGUGCACCGGAGCUUUAGCUUGGACGACGUCAAGUUCAUCAAGAAUGCCAUGAACUGCACUGUUAAUGAUGUGCUAGUCGGAGUCACUUCUGCUGCUCUAUCACAAUAUUACUUUCGUAAGUCUGGUUACCCUAAGACACACAAACUAUGUUUGCGAUGUGUCCUCCCUGUAAAUACAAGGCCAACAUCUAGCCUACAAACAUAUGUUAAUAUGAUAGAAUCGGGUAAAAGUAAUGACGUGGCAUGGGGAAAUCAAAUAGGCUACAUCCUCCUACCAUUUCAUUUAGCGGUACACGAUGAUCCACUUGCAUAUGUUCGGAUGGCAAAGAAGACCCUGGAUAGAAAAAAGAGCUCACUUGAAGUUAUCUUCACGUGUAUGAUUAGCGAGCUUUUUGUUAAAAUGUUUGGUCUAAAGGCAGGUGCUUUUAUCAUCGGUCGUAUGCUCACAAAUACAACUACUACGCUCUCGAACAUGGUUGGACCAACAGAGCAAGUAGAGUUCUAUGGACACCCAUUUGUCUUCAUUGCACCUACAGUUUAUGGUAUUCCACAAGCUUUAAUUGUACACUAUCAGAGUUACAAUAGCACUAUUAAGGUAAUUUUGUCAGUCGAUGAGGAAAUAAUUCCAAAUUAUACUCAACUUCUGGAUGACUUUGUUGAGUCUUUCGGGCACAUUAAGGAUGCGGCUUCAAGGCUUUCAACACAUGUCAAGAAAGGAUAA